GCUCAAGAAUCUGGAUCGUUUGCUUUUCUCUUCGUUCGCUGGAGCCACCACUGGAGAGUGAUUCAGACGGGGCUGAAACUGGUAUACCCCUGAGCCCCUGUGAAGUCCCCAUUUCUGUGCAGGGUCAGUUGAAAGUGACAUUGUGAUGUAGGCAAAACUAUGCCUUGGGUGACAUUGUGAAGUUGGCAGAGGGUGCCCUAGGUGACAUUGUGAAGUAGGCAAAAGACAUUUUAUUCAUUCAAUAAGUUUUCCUUGAGCCCAUCUUGUGUGCCAGGGACCAGUGAUAUGUAGACAAUUAAGAGCGUGCCUACCACAGGCAAGAAGGGGCAAAGCCCUAUGAAUAAAUGGGUACUCGGAAGUUGCCACUGGUGCUGUAAUAGAGCUACGCUUAAGGAUGCACCAGUUUGUAUUUCCGCCACCAAAGAAGAGAGUGCCUGCUUCCACAAAGCCUGCCGACGGCAUGUGUGCCAAUCUGAUAGGACUGAAAUGGUAUCAUUGAGUUGCUGAAGUUUCAACAGGACCGGCUUGCAUCACGGUGGACCUACCGAAGCCAUUCUUAAUGGCAUCACAAUUACCAGUUUAAUCCAGUUGACAAAUAACAGGAUGAAUCUAGCUAUCUGUUUUGUCUGUGCCUCCACUCCACUAUCAGAGCUCUAAUGGAGAAAACCAACCAGCAGAAAAGUUUGGUGCCAUUAAGCAUUCAUAAGCCUCAACCUCCAACGGACCCUCAGCUCUACCUGACCAUGUUAUUGUGUUUCUUUGGUCAGUUUCUUUCUCCCUUCCACAAAGACUACUUCAAACUCUCUUCACUCUCUUUCAGAUUUCUCUUAUUAUUUCACUUCUUCUGAGCAGAUGGCCCACCUCCUACUACAAAGAGAAAGUAGAAGUCAUAAUGUGAGAACUCCCUCAUCUUCCCUCUAGCAACCUUACACAAGUACCUGGAUUUCCACCCAUCUCUUUGUUCCAGCCUGUUACGAUAGAGGAGGAAUUCUUCCUCGCAUCAUCUAAGAUCAAUGUCUCUACCGUCUCUGGUCCACCUAUCUUCUUUCCCCUUUUUACUCCUAAUUCAACCUAAUACUAUCAAGUGUUUAUUCUCUCUUCUCUGUCUUUGGCCUCUCUCUUUACUCUUUCCUUUUGCAAAACAAAUAAACCUGCUGAAAUUUAUUGUUAAAAAUGAAACAAACAAAACCAUUCAUCUUAUUUUCCCUUCUAGCAAUGGCUAUAUUUCUCUUCUCUCCUUCAUAGCUUAAUUUCUUAAGUCAUAGAAUUUUUUGAGGCUGAAUGAGACAACUUUCAUGGACACAGAAGUGUACAGUCACUGAAAAGAGGAAGAGCUGGAACAAGAGAUGGGGAGAGCUGCAGACUACCACAGUGUACCUGGGCUUUGGGGUUAGGUUUGAUCCGAGGGGCUGGGUGCCAUAGGUGACACAGAAAAUAUGUUUGCCUGCGGUGAGCUAGUCAAUAUAUGCAACAUGGCAUAAGUGUGGGUCUGAAAUCAGUUUCUUUAUUUGAAAAUUUAAAAUAACAAUAGUUACCUUGUAGCAUUGUUUUGAGGAUUAAAUAAGCUAAUGGGUAUAAAGCUACUUAUCAUGGUACGUACUCAAAAAUAUUACCUAUUAUUAUUUUUGUAACUGUAAUUAUGCUGUCAGAUGGGCAGGUUUGCACAACCAAAUAUGAAAGCAUCCAUAUUCAAUGUGGAAAUAAAUAUAAAGUGAUACAGCUGUCUUUGACCUACAAGUUUGACUAGUGCUUUGGACAUUCACUCAUUCAUAAAGAAACAUAUGUAUCAGGAACUUUGCUAGGCAUUGGGAAUUACAAAGAAGAAUAAGACAAAAUCUCUGCUGUCAGUGAGCUCACAGUCUUAAGGCAGUCAAGGCAUAAGCAUGUAAUUAUAAUACGGUGUGGUAAGUGCUGUGAUUGACAAACACAGGGCAUUUGGGGAAUUCAAAGAAGGAAGCAUAUAGCUUGGGUGAGGCACAUCAAAGAAAUCUUUCUGGUUGAGGUGAAACUGGAGCUGAUUCUUAAAGUGAGUAAAUGCUAUUAGAAGAAAGAAAGAAGGCAGGCGGGGGAAGGGUUUUAAAGUUCCUCUGUCCACACAGUUCAACUCAAAGGCACUGGGAUUCCAUACUUAUUUAAUUUAAAAAGUUGUACUGCUAAAAGCUAUUUGAAACUCAUUGACCUAUUUGAAUGAUAUGUAAGGAACAAAGUAGUAUAUGAUAAUACAAGGAUGAGGGAAAACUUUUGUUUCAUUACGAGUGGAACACAGCAGGAAUUGCUGUAGGCAGGGUGACACAACGUAUUUUAAAGAACCUGGUGGCUGGGAGCCCAGAUAGGCUACUACCCGUGGUGAAAUUGCCUAGGUGAUGUCACCAUGGCCCUCAGUUUUGAUAGUGCAGGAAGUUUAUUGUCAGCUAAUAAGAGAUAACCAAUCUCUUGAGGACUGGUUCAAUUUAAAAUAGGAGGUGAAUAUAUAAGCUACAAUGCAUUCACUUAUAAUAAGAAAUAUGAAAUUCUUGCAAACUAAAAUACUUCUGUUGUCAUGAUUGAUAAAUUUGCUCCAGAUGGGUGUGCUAAAUAUUCGUCUUGAGAUCCUGAAAUCAGAACAGAAGGAAGGAGCUAGAGUGGGAAGCUAUCUGGUUCAGACAAUGGUCUGAGCAACAUGGGCUUAAUUUCCUGCUCUGAUUCUUCAGAACCUUACUCUAUGUGAUUUCACAGAUUUAAAAAUUCCCAUUGCUGUGGUUAUUGGAAAGCUGAGAUGUAGAAACAGGGGCAGGUCUUAGACCAAUAAGCAUCUGAUGAGAACGCAUUUUGGAAUAGGAGCAAGCAGCGCAUGCUGAGGCAGCAUCAUGAGUUGAGGUCAUGUUAAGACAUCAGGGAAAAGAAAUUAGCAUGGGAACAUACAUCUGCCAAAUAAUUAGUGCAAUAUUGGCUGUGAAAGUGGGAUUAUCUCUGAACCUUUGAGAGCUAGAUAAACUAUAAUAACAGGAAUUCAGAGUAUUAUGCAUAUUAUGCAUUUAUGUAAAGUAAUUACAUGUAUAUGCAUAGGAAAAGGUAUAGAAAUGUAUAUAAAAUACUAUGAGUGGUUUUCCUAUAUAAAGAAACAUAUAUGGAAGCAUGAGUGUUCCUUAUUUUUGUUUUGGUCUAUCUGUGAUUUCAAAAUUAUCUACAAUAAAGAUGUGCUACUCAUUCAAUAAAGAAGUAUAAAGUUAGAAACAAUUAGCAUAAGGGGAAAAGGACCAAGUGUCUCUGACUUUCACUGGAACAACUACUAGUGAUACAGCUUGGAUGAUGUUAGACCUGAACAAGUUCAUAGGAAGCACAGUGAAGGAUAGCGGACAGGGAGCUGUUUGAAGGAGUCCAGGAAAGGCGAGGUGCUGCACAAAAAGAAUUUCUUUUCAGUUUGGACUAAAAACAGGAAGGGACUAUUUUUAGUAGAGGAGUUUUAGAUGCUCCUCCCAUUGGCACAGCCAGCAACAAAAAUAUUUUACUUUGUUUUUACUUUUUAUUUCUUUCUCAUUAAUUUAUUAUAUUGUGGUCAUAACAGCU